AUUGCUCAGUGCUGAAGAUGUGGUCAGUGAGGAACAUAUACAGCUGGGGAGAAAAGGUAUCACUGUUCCCACAGAAUGUGCCAUUUAAGUACAAAGAAGGUCGAGAAGGAAGUGGCAUCAGAUUUUCACAGCAUGAUGGAAGAAAUUGCUCUGCCUCAUGUGCACACCUAGAGGAUGGUAGGAAGGGGCAGUUACAUUCCACAGACACUCUUGCUAAGCAAGCGUAUCUUCAACAAGGAAAAAGUGUUUGUACGUCCUUAAUGAAGUAAAAACACCACGGCAUUAUGCAGAAAUCAUCACUGAAAUCUAAGAGGACACAACAAUCUAAUGAAGUCACUGUUCUUUGCCUGAAAAUGUUAGCCUAGCAUUGUGAUGUUUUGAUGGACAAUAUGUAAUGAUCAUUUGAGUAUCAUCUGUUCCAUUAAAAAAAAAAAAGAGUAGAAAG
rnacentral:lncRNA from 7 species